rnacentral:sRNA from 1 species
AAAAUGCCGAAUUCCCGUAUGGGAAACGGGGGAACCAGCGAAACCAUCUUCGGUUUCACGGGGUGAAUUCCUAGAUUGCUUGCAAUAUAGGAAAGGGUACUCUCAAACCCUAAUCCGUCAGCUAACCUCGUAAGCGUGUUGAGAGAGAA